CAAGUCGAACGGAAACAUGUCUAGCUUGCUAGAUGAUGUCGAGUGGCGGACGGGUGAGUAAUGCUUGGGAACUUGCCUUUGCGAGGGGGAUAACAGUUGGAAACGACUGCUAAUACCGCAUAAUGUCUUCGGACCAAACGGGGCUUCGGCUCCGGCGCAAAGAGAGGCCCAAGUGAGAUUAGCUAGUUGGUGAGGUAAAGGCUCACCAAGGCAACGAUCUCUAGCUGUUCUGAGAGGAAGAUCAGCCACACUGGGACUGAGACACGGCCCAGACUCCUACGGGAGGCAGCAGUGGGGAAUAUUGCACAAUGGGGGAAACCCUGAUGCAGCCAUGCCGCGUGUGUGAAGAAGGCCUUCGGGUUGUAAAGCACUUUCAGUUGUGAGGAAAAGUUAGUAGUUAAUACCUGCUAGCCGUGACGUUAACAACAGAAGAAGCACCGGCUAACUCCGUGCCAGCAGCCGCGGUAAUACGGAGGGUGCGAGCGUUAAUCGGAAUUACUGGGCGUAAAGCGCACGCAGGCGGUUUGUUAAGCUAGAUGUGAAAGCCCCGGGCUCAACCUGGGACGGUCAUUUAGAACUGGCAGACUAGAGUCUUGGAGAGGGGAGUGGAAUUCCAGGUGUAGCGGUGAAAUGCGUAGAUAUCUGGAGGAACAUCAGUGGCGAACGCGACUCCCUGGCCAAAG
rnacentral:rRNA from 1 species